rnacentral:rRNA from 1 species
UACGUAGGGGGCUAGCGUUGUCCGGAAUCAUUGGGCGUAAAGCGCGCGUAGGCGGCCCGGUAAGUCCGCUGUAAAAGUCAAAGGCUCAACCUUUGAAUGUCAGUGGAUACUGCCGGGCUAGAGUCCGGAAGAGGCGAGCGGAACUCCUGGUGUAGCGGUGGAAUGCGCAGAUAUCAGGAAGAACACCGACGGCGAAGGCAGCUCGCUGGGACGGUACUGACGCUGAGGCGCGAAAGCGUGGGGAGCGAACAGG